GUGAUUGGAAUGAGUACACUUUAAAUCCUUUAACGAGGAACCAUUGGAGGGCAAGUCUGGUGCCAGCAGCCGCGGUAACUCCAGCUCCAAUAGCGUAUAUUAAAGUUGUUGCGGUUAAAAAGCUCGUAGUCGGAUGUCUGUCUUCGGCCGGGCGGCGCCGCUCUGAAUCAAGGGUGUUGCGUUUCACGCUCUGGGAGCCCGGGUGUCAAAGCCCGACUCUCUUCACGGUCGGACAACAUCGCCGGAGUGGUGGCCGGUGCGUCGUUGUUGUAUCUGCGGUCAGAGUCGGAGGUUCUCUUCUGAUUUUGGUCGUAGUUGACUCGAUUCGCUCCACCCAGUCAAUCGUUCGGGGUGCCCUUCACCGGGUGUCUCGGGCGGCCGGCAACGUUUACUUUGAACAAAUUAGAGUGCUCAAAGCAGGUGUAUCCCAACGCCUGAAUAUCGCAGCAUGGAAUGAUGGAAUAGGACCUCGGUCCGAUUUUGCUGGUCUUUUACUUUUGGACCCGAGGUAAUGGUCAAUAGAGACGG
rnacentral:rRNA from 1 species